rnacentral:rRNA from 1 species
UGGGGAAUAUUGGGCAAUGGGCGAAAGCCUGACCCAGCAACGCCGCGUGAGGGAAGAAGGGUUUCGGCUCGUAAACCUCUGUCCUAUGGGACGAAGGAAGUGACGGUACCAUAGGAGGAAGCCCCGGCUAACUACGUGCCAGCAGCCGCGGUAAUACGUAGGGGGCGAGCGUUGUCCGGAAUGAUUGGGCGUAAAGGGCGCGUAGGCGGCCUGGUAAGUCUGAAGUGAAAGUCCUGCUUUUAAGGUGGGAAUUGCCUUUAAUACUGGAAGGCUUGAGUGCAGAAGAGGUAAGUGGAAUUCCCAGUGUAGCGGUGAAAUGCGUAGAGAUUGGGAAGAACACCAGUGGCGAAGGCGACUUACUGGGCUGUAACUGACGCUGAGGCGCGAAAGCGUGGGGAGCAAACAGGAUUAGAUACCCUGGUAGU